rnacentral:rRNA from 2 species
AGACCCGAAACCCGGUGAUCUAGCCAUGGGCAGGUUGAAGGUUGGGUAACACUAACUGGAGGACCGAACCGACUAAUGUUGAAAAAUUAGCGGAUGACCUGUGGCUGGGGGUGAAAGGCCAAUCAAACCGGGAGAUAGCUGGUUCUCCCCGAAAGCUAUUUAGGUAGCGCCUCGUGAAUUCAUCUCCGGGGGUAGAGCACUGUUUCGGCUAGGGGGCCAUCCCGGCUUACCAACCCGAUGCAAACUGCGAAUACCGGAGAAUGUUAUCACGGGAGACACACGGCGGGUGCUAACGUCCGUCGUGAAGAGGGAAACAACCCAGACCGCCAGCUAAGGUCCCAAAGUCAUGGUUAAGUGGGAAACGAUGUGGGAAGGCCCAGACAGCCAGGAUGUUGGCUUAGAAGCAGCCAUCAUUUAAAGAAAGCGUAAUAGCUCACUGGUCGAGUCGGCCUGCGCGGAAGAUGUAACGGGGCUAAACCAUGCACCGAAGCUGCGGCAGCGAACGUAUCACCCAAGACAACUUUACGGAGUUGACGAUUGACGGAGCGAAGCGACGUCAAAGCGUUCAUUAAAGUCGAGUUGGCUUAGGGAUACGUUCGUUGGGUAGGGGAGCGUUCUGUAAGCCUGUGAAGGUGUGUCGUGAGGCAUGCUGGAGGUAUCAGAAGUGCGAAUGCUGACAUAAGUAACGAUAAAGCGGGUGAAAAGCCCGCUCGCCGGAAGACCAAGGGUUCCUGUCCAACGUUAAUCGGGGCAGGGUGAGUCGACCCCUAAGGCGAGGCCGAAAGGCGUAGUCGAUGGGAAACGGGUUAAUAUUCCCGUACUUGGUGUUACUGCGAAGGGGGGACGGAGAAGGCUAUGUUGGCCGGGCGACGGUUGUCCCGGUUUAAGCGUGUAGGUGUGUGUUCCAGGUAAAUCCGGUUCACUUUAACACUGAGGCGUGACGACGAGGCACUACGGUGCUGAAGCAACAAAUGCCCUGCUUCCAGGAAAAGCCUCUAAGCAUCAGGUAACACGAAAUCGUACCCCAAACCGACACAGGUGGUCAGGUAGAGAAUACCAAGGCGCUUGAGAGAACUCGGGUGAAGGAACUAGGCAAAAUGGUGCCGUAACUUCGGGAGAAGGCACGCUGACACGUAGGUGAAGUGAUUUACUCAUGGAGCUGAAGUCAGUCGAAGAUACCAGCUGGCUGCAACUGUUUAUUAAAAACACAGCACUGUGCAAACACGAAAGUGGACGUAUACGGUGUGACGCCUGCCCGGUGCCGGAAGGUUAAUUGAUGGGGUCAGCGCAAGCGAAGCUCCUGAUCGAAGCCCCGGUAAACGGCGGCCGUAACUAUAACGGUCCUAAGGUAGCGAAAUUCCUUGUCGGGUAAGUUCCGACCUGCACGAAUGGCGUAAUGAUGGCCAGGCUGUCUCCACCCGAGACUCAGUGAAAUUGAACUCGCUGUGAAGAUGCAGUGUACCCGCGGCAAGACGGAAAGACCCCGUGAACCUUUACUAUAGCUUGACACUGAACAUUGAGCCUUGAUGUGUAGGAUAGGUGGGAGGCUUUGAAGUGUGGACGCCAGUCUGCAUGGAGCCGACCUUGAAAUACCACCCUUUAAUGUUUGAUGUUCUAACGUGGACCCGUAAUCCGGGUUGCGGACAGUGUCUGGUGGGUAGUUUGACUGGGGCGGUCUCCUCCUAAAGAGUAACGGAGGAGCACGAAGGUUGGCUAAUCCUGGUCGGACAUCAGGAGGUUAGUGCAAUGGCAUAAGCCAGCUUGACUGCGAGCGUGACGGCGCGAGCAGGUGCGAAAGCAGGUCAUAGUGAUCCGGUGGUUCUGAAUGGAAGGGCCAUCGCUCAACGGAUAAAAGGUACUCCGGGGAUAACAGGCUGAUACCGCCCAAGAGUUCAUAUCGACGGCGGUGUUUGGCACCUCGAUGUCGGCUCAUCACAUCCUGGGGCUGAAGUAGGUCCCAAGGGUAUGGCUGUUCGCCAUUUAAAGUGGUACGCGAGCUGGGUUUAGAACGUCGUGAGACAGUUCGGUCCCUAUCUGCCGUGGGCGCUGGAGAACUGAGGGGGGCUGCUCCUAGUACGAGAGGACCGGAGUGGACGCAUCACUGGUGUUCGGGUUGUCAUGCCAAUGGCACUGCCCGGUAGCUAAAUGCGGAAGAGAUAAGUGCUGAAAGCAUCUAAGCACGAAACUUGCCCCGAGAUGAGUUCUCCCUGAGACUUAGAGUCUCCUGAAGGAACGUUGAAGACGACGACGUUGAUAGGCCGGGUGUGUAAGCGCAGCGAUGCGUUGAGCUAACCGGUACUAAUGAACCGUGAGGCUUAACCUU